GAUGAACGCUGGCGGCGUGCCUAAUACAUGCAAGUCGAGCGAACAGACGAGGAGCUUGCUCCUCUGACGUUAGCGGCGGACGGGUGAGUAACACGUGGAUAACCUACCUAUAAGACUGGGAUAACUUCGGGAAACCGGAGCUAAUACCGGAUAAUAUAUUGAACCGCAUGGUUCAAUAGUGAAAGACGGUUUUGCUGUCACUUAUAGAUGGAUCCGCGCCGCAUUAGCUAGUUGGUAAGGUAACGGCUUACCAAGGCAACGAUGCGUAGCCGACCGGAGAGGGUGAUCGGCCACACUGGAACUGAGACACGGUCCAGACUCCUACGAGAGGCAGCAGUAGGGAAUCUGCCGCAGUGGGCGAAAGCCUUACGGAGCAGCGCCGCGUGAGUGAUGAAGGUCUUCGGAUCGUAAAGCUCUGUUAUUAGGUAAAAACAAAUGUGUAAGUAACUAUGCACGUCUUGACGGUACCUAGUCAAAAAGCCCCGGCUAACUACGUG
rnacentral:rRNA from 1 species